GGGGGGGAGGGGCGGCGAGGCGAGGCCUGCGGAGCGGAGGAAGACAAACAUAAAGAUGAAGUGCUUAAUUCAAGGUCACACAAUGUCGGGGAUGGACCUCCAGAUUUCCUUACUGGUGAGACGUGGUCUUGUAACACAGUGGUUAAGAAUGUGACUUUGGAGCCAGCCUGCUAGGGGCUGAAUUCUGACUCAGCCAUUUACUAACUGUGUGACCUUAGGUGGAGUCUCACUCUGUAGCCCAAGCUGGAGUGGCGUGAUCUCGACUCACUGCAACCUCCGCCUCCUGGGAUCAAGUGAUUCUCGUGCCUCAGCCUCCUGAGUAGCCGGGACUACAGGUCACAGAAUUUUCCACACUCCUUGACAGAGGUGCUUAACCCUUAUCCAUCAGCAUUCUCAGACAGCACCUCCGGUUAGGGACAGUAUCUGACCGUCCGACAUCCCUGCAGCCCCCAUGUGUCACACAGACUCAGCCUCAGGUAGAUGGUUUCCGUAGAUGGUGGCUUUCUUUGGACCCUUGACAUCAACCAGUUACUAUUUGGUCUAGGGGUCUCACCAACGCUGCUCAUCUAGCAGGGCCACACAUAACAAAUAGAAGCAGAGCAAGCCCUGGAACUCCUGCCUGACAGUGACACGACGACAGAAACAUCUUACCAGUCAGAGGACCAUGAGAAAUAGAUUCAAGGAGCAUUCCACGUGCAAGUGAGUCUUGGCCCCAUCUGCCUUUGGAUUUUAGCCGUGAACUGGAAGGUAUUGGAAAGAAGACCCUCAGAAAUAGCUUAAUCAAAAUCCCUGCGUCUGAACCAAGUGCCUUAUUUCUCUGUGGGCCUCAAGCUUCGCUGACAUCUGUGGAGCACACUGUCCUAACAGGAGUGCUGUCUGAUUUCCCAACGCUCUGCAAAACAAACAGCCUGGAAGGGUGGCUGGUGGAAGGUGGUUUUUAGAGAGAGACUUGUAGAUAACAGGAAAGUGAAGGCUGUAAGGAAGGUUGUAAUUAAACAGCACAUGGAAACACAAUCACAUUAUUGUCCCAUUCCAUAGGGAUAAUGAUGACCACUUCAGUGGGAAAAGGAGAGGUUUUAAGUCAUUAGGGACUAUGGGCCACCUUUUAGGAAGAUUUAUUUUCAAAGGUUAAAAUAGUGUUUUGGCAAUUCAAGUUUCAUUUUCAGAAAAUGUAAUUGAUGGGAACCUCAGUGACUCUGGAUGAAUAAGAUGCUGUUGAGUGGCUCUGACUUGGGCCAGCCGUGCUUCUCACAGGACCUUGGAGACCAAGGUCACUGUGAUCUCAGGUUCAGGGGGCAAGUCCUCUCCACACAGCCCUAGUUGGCCUCACAGCUGAAAAUGUCUCCCUUACUGUUGGACUCCUUUGUUCACCCACAUGAGUUUGUGAAUAAAUCCUUUCCAGUCUGAAA
rnacentral:lncRNA from 1 species